rnacentral:rRNA from 1 species
GCCACUGCUAUCGGAGUUCGAUUAAGCCAUGCGAGUCGAGAGGUGCAAGACCUCGGCAUACUGCUCAGUAACACGUGGACAACCUAACCUAUGGAGGGGGAUAACCCCGGGAAACUGGGGAUAAUACCCCAUAGACUAUGGAUGCUGGAAUGCUCUGUAGUUGAAAGGUCCGCCGCCAUAGGAUGGGUCUGCGGCCGAUUAGGUUGUUGUUGGGGUAACGGCCCAACAAGCCUGUAAUCGGUACGGGUUGUGGGAGCAAGAGCCCGGAGAUGGAUUCUGAGACACGAAUCAGGCCCUACGGGGCGCACAGGCGCGAAAACUUUACAAUGCGGGAAACCGUGAUAAGGGAACUCCGAGUGCCCGUAAAAUCGGCUGUCCAUCUGUUUAAAUAACAGGUGAAGAAAGGCCGGGCAAGACCGGUGCCAGCCGUCGCGGUAAUACCGGCGGUCGAGUGGUGGCACUAUUACUGGCUUAAGCGUUCGUACUGGUUGUUAAGUCUCUGGGAAAUCUUCCGGUUACCGGAAGGGUUCAGGAUACUGCAGACUAGGGCCGGAAGAGGUAGGGGUACUCCAGGGGUAGGAGUAAAUCCUGUAAUCCUUGGGGGCCACCUGUGCGAAGGCGCCUCACCAGGACGGCUCCGACAGUAGGGACGAAAGCUGGGGGACAAACCGGAUUAGAUACCCGGGUAGUCCCAGCCGUAAACGAUGUGCGUUAGGUGUAUCGGUGACCACGAGUCACCGAGGUGCCGAAGAGAAAUCGUGAAACGUACCGCCUGGGAAGUACGGUCGCAAGGCUGAAACUUAAAGGAAUUGGCGGGGGAGCACCACAACAGGUGGAGCCUGCGGUUUAAUCGGACUCAACGCCGGAAAACUCACCAGAUAAGACAGCUGAAUGAUAGUCGGGCUGAAGACUCUACUUGACUAGCUGAGAGGAGGUGCAUGGCCGUCGUCAGUUCGUACUGUGAAGCAUCCUGUUAAGUCAGG